rnacentral:rRNA from 1 species
GACGAACGCUGGCGGCGUGCUUAACACAUGCAAGUCGAACGGAAAGGCCCCCUUGUGGGGUACUCGAGUGGCGAACGGGUGAGUAACACGUGAGUAACCUACCCUUGACUUUGGGAUAACUUCAGGAAACUGGGGCUAAUACCGGAUAGGAGCUCCUGCUGCAUGGUGGGGGUUGGAAAGUUUCGGCGGUUGGGGAUGGACUCGCGGCUUAUCAGCUUGUUGGUGGGGUAGUGGCUCACCAAGGCUUUGACGGGUAGCCGGCCUGAGAGGGUGACCGGCCACAUUGGGACUGAGAUACGGCCCAGACUCCUACGGGGGGCAGCAGUGGGGAAUAUUGCACAAUGGGCGGAAGCCUGAUGCAGCAACGCCGCGUGCGGGAUGACGGCCUUCGGGUUGUAAACCGCUUUCGCCUGUGACGAAGCGUGAGUGACGGUAAUGGGUAAAGAAGCACCGGCUAACUACGUG